rnacentral:rRNA from 1 species
GAUGAACGCUGGCGGCGUGCCUAAUACAUGCAAGUCGAGCGAACAGAUGAGGAGCUUGCUCCUCUGACGUUAGCGGCGGACGAGUGAGUAGCACGUGGAUAACCUACCUAUAAGACUGGGAUAACUUCGGGAAACCGGAGCGAAUACCGGGUAAUAUAUUGAACCUCAUGGUUCAAUGGUGAAAGACGGUUUUGCUGUCACUUAUGGAUGGAUCCGCGCCGGAUUAGCUAGUUGGUAAGGUAACGGCUUACCAAGGCAACGAUGAGUAGCCGACCUGAGAGGGGGAUCGGCCACCAUGGAACUGAGACGCGGCCCAGCAGACUACGGGAGGCAGCAGUAGGGAAUCUUCCGGCAUGGGCGAAAGCCUGACGGAGCAACGCCGCGUGAGUGAUGAAGGUCUUCGGAUCGUAAAACUCUGUUAUUAGGGAAGAACCAAUGUGUAAGUAACUAUGCACGGCUUGACGGUACCUAAUCAGAAAGCCACGGCUAACUACGUG